rnacentral:rRNA from 1 species
GAUGAACGCUGGCGGCGUGCUUAACACAUGCAAGUCGAACGGAAAGGCCCAAGCUUGCUUGGGUACUCGAGUGGCGAACGGGUGAGUAACACGUGGGUGAUCUGCCCUGCACUUCGGGAUAAGCCUGGGAAACUGGGUCUAAUACCGGAUAGGACCACUUCUUGGAUGUUGUGGUGGAAAGUUUUUUCGGUGUGGGGUGAGCUCGCGGCCUAUCAGCUUGUUGGUGGGGUAAUGGCCUACCAAGGCGUCGACGGGUAGCCGGCCUGAGAGGGUGUACGGCCACCUUGGGACUGAGGGACGGCCCCGACGCCGACGGGAGGCAGCAGGGGGGAAUAUUGCACAAGGGGCGCCAGCCGGAUGCAGCGGCGCCGCGUGUGGGAUGACGGCCUUCGGGUUGUAAACUCCUUUCGCUAGGGACGAAGCGUUUUGUGACGGUACCUGGAGAAGAAGCACCGGCUAACUACGUG